UACGACUACAUAUCAGGCAUAUCAAUAAGCGGAGGAAAAGAAACUAACAAGGAUUCCCUUAGUAACGGCGAGUGAAGCGGGAAGAGCUCAAAUUUGAAAUCUUCAAGGUUUUACCUUGACGAAUUGUAGUUUAAAGAAGUGUUUUCUGUUGAAGUUUUGGUAAAAGUUCUUUGGAAUAGGACAUCAUAGAGGGUGAGAAUCCCGUAUUUGACUAUUCUUUCUAGCUGUGUGAUACACUUUCAAAGAGUCGGAUUGUUUGGGAAUGCAGUCCAAAAUGGGUGGUAAAUUUCAUCUAAAGCUAAAUAUUGGCGAGAGACCGAUAGCGAACAAGUACCGUGAGGGAAAGAUGAAAAGAACUUUGAAAAGAGAGUUAAACAGUACGUGAAAUUGUCAAAAGGGAAGCGUUUGACACCAGUGUUGUUUUCUCGAAAAUCAAUUAAAAAGAGUUGGAUUUUGUGUUGUAUUGACCUUAAGCAGCUUGCUUCACUCUUUUCCAGCUUUUUUUAAUGCACUUUUCGUUUAACAAGUCAACAUCAGUUUCUUUUGUUGUAAAAGGGUCAUUGGAAGGUGGCUUUCUCUUCGGAGAAAGUGUUUAUAGCCUUUGCUCUCUGCAAUCGGAGAGAUUGAGGUCUGCAGCGUAGAUCCUUCGGGGUUAGAUACAUUUGUGCUAAGCUACAGCUUUUCAUAGACAACUUGUUGACUAUGUUUAGUCUUGUGACUUACCCGCUUAUGCUAUUUUACCUACGCUUAGGAUGUUGAGCGCAUGUCUCUCUCU
rnacentral:rRNA from 1 species